UCUCUCUCAGUGCAGACGGCAAAUGCUUCCUGCGCAGACAGUUUCCGGGCAAAGUUUGACAUCAUCCUCUCAGCCAGUUAUGCCGGGAAACGCAAUAUCUCCAACAUGGCCAUUAUCGACGUCAAGAUGCUCUCUGGCUUCGAACCUGUCAGUUCAUCCCUGCAAAAGCUUCGUGAGGAUCAGAAAGUGAUGCUGAUAGAAACCAAGCAAAACCACGUCCUCUUCUAUCUGGAGAGUG